GGAAUUGUAGCUCAGUGGUAGAGUGCAUGCCUAGCAUGUGUGAAAUACUGGGUUUGAUUCUCAGCACCA
rnacentral:tRNA from 1 species